CAGUAGCCGCGGUAAUACAGAGGUUGCGAGCGUUAAUCGGAUUUACUGGGCGUAAAGCGUGCGUAGGCGGCUUUUUAAGUCGGAUGUGAAAUCCCUGAGCUUAACUUAGGAAUUGCAUUCGAUACUGGGAAGCUAGAGUAUGGGAGAGGAUGGUAGAAUUCCAGGUGUAGCGGUGAAAUGCGUAGAGAUCUGGAGGAAUACCGAUGGCGAAGGCAGCCAUCUGGCCUAAUACUGACGCUGAGGUACGAAAGCAUGGGGAGCAAACAGGAUUAGAUACCCCCGUAGUCCCUGUCUCUUAUAC
rnacentral:rRNA from 1 species